ensembl:lncRNA
UGCAGCUACCUGGUUAUUAUGCUUGACUUAUAAUGAAAGCUGGGUCUGAUCACAUGGUUGAAAUGCCAACAAUUAAUAUUCUGUUUUUAUGCUGACAUUCUACCAGAUGCCGAGAAAAAAUAAAAGAUCCCAGGCACAAAAGAAGCGCUGGAAACCACUUGACCUGGUCGAUCCUGCUGUCCCAAUGCUCACUGGCCACAACCAAGAUGAGGCAGUCAGUAGUUUUCCAUCUGUCCAGCAGACAGCACCAGCCAGGUUAUCCUUGGAAACACAGGAUAGACCCACCUCCUUAUGUUCCCCAGGUAUCAAGCAGACAGCACCAGCCAGCUUGUCCUUGGAAACGGAGAAUAGACCCACCUCCUUAUGUCCUCCAGGCAGCAAGAUUUCAGACACUCGUCCACCAGCAAAACGAGUCUGGGCAACUGAUGAUUUCCACACGGCAUCAAAUUCUCCACCUAAAAAGGCUUGGGCUGCUGCUGCUGUCCGAUGUUUUUGCUGCUGCUGCCUCUGGUCCCUUCGUCUCAAAGCGUGCGAAGAAGUGGUUCAGCUCCUCCAUAGCGCCCGCGUUACCCUCAGUCAACGUGGUAUUGCAAGCUCAGAUCUGGCUGCACUGUACUGCAUACCAUCACCGGAUCUAAAAGCGGCGUCACGUUGCUUCAGCAGAAGGAGCAGAAAGUACAGACAUGACCUUUAUAAAAGGUCAUUAAAAAACAGCACUCAAGCAAAUUACAGAUAUCUAAAAUAUUCGUCAUUUUUACUUCCCACCUCUGCUCUCUCACUGUUCCUGUCACACUCUUUCUGUCUGCCU